GUAGUCUCGCACAGAUGCAUAUCAAUAAGCGGAGGAAAAGAAACUAACAAGGAUUCCCUCAGUAACGGCGAGUGAAGCGGGAAGAGCUCAAAUUUGAAAUCUUGAAAGGUCGCCUUUCACGAAUUGUAGUUUAAAGAAGUGUUUUCUGUUACGAUCGUAAUAUAAGUUCUUUGGAAUAGGACAUCACAGAGGAUGAGAAUCCCGUCUAUGAUUGCGAUUUGUAGCUUUGUGAUACACUUUCAAAGAGUCGGGUUGUUUGGGAAUGCAGCCCAAAACGGGAGGUAAAUUUCAUCUAAGGCUAAAUAUUGGCGAGAGACCGAUAGCGAACAAGUACCGUGAGGGAAAGAUGAAAAGAACUUUGAAAAGAGAGUUAAACAGUACGUGAAAUUGUCAAAAGGGAAGCGUUUAACACCAGUGUUGUUUUCUGAAAAUCAACCUCUGUUAGCUUUAUGCAUGUUUGUUUAGACCUAAUCAGCUAUCUUGCAUGUUCUAUUGUUUGCAGUGGUGCACUUUUCAGUUUACAGGUCAACAUCAGUUUUUUUUACCGUAAAAAAGUUAAAGAAAGGUAGCUCAUGGCUCCGGUCGUGAGUGUUAUAGUCUUUUUCCUAUGCGGUAGGAGAGACUGAGGUCUGCAGUGUAGGCUAUUUGGCUAGAUACUCAGGUGCUAUGUGAUACCAUUUCAUAAACAACUUGUUGAUUAUGUUUUGUCUAUUGCAUACUCGCUUGUACUAUCAUACCUACGCUUAGGAUGUUGAAGAUGUAGCACAUCAU
rnacentral:rRNA from 1 species